rnacentral:rRNA from 2 species
CUAGCUUCAGCGAUGGAUCGGUCGAUUCGCGUAUCG